UACGGAGGGUGCAAGCGUUAUCCGGAUUCACUGGGUUUAAAGGGUGCGUAGGCGGGUUGGUAAGUCCGUGGUGAAAUCCCCAAGCUUAACUUGGGAACUGCCGUGGAUACUAUCAAUCUUGAAUAUCGUGGAGGUAAGCGGAAUAUGUCAUGUAGCGGUGAAAUGCUUAGAGAUGACAUAGAACACCAAUUGCGUAGGCAGCUUACUACACGAUCAUUGACGCUGAGGCACGAAAGCGUGGGGAGCAAACAGG
rnacentral:rRNA from 2 species